UAUUUCGUUAGUGCAAUGAAAAAAGAACAAGAUCCUGAUAGUUACAUCACUUUAUUUUCAUGAGGCUCCCUAACUUAGCAAGCAGACUGCUGGUCUGAAGGUGACCUAGGUUCUGGAGGAAUUUCAAGGCUCCAUUUCACGGGCAACUGGAGACCACAAAGAUGGCCAUGUUAACGUAAUUGAUAUCGUACUGCUCAAGAUUAAGGUUAAAUAAAUAUGUUUUGAACUGAUUGAAUAGAUAUUAAAUAAAUCCAUGUAGAAUGAAGGAAUGAAUAAACACAUGAAUAAAUCCUUCCUUCUGUGUGGAUGCAACCCUGGAAAUGAUUAUUUUGCUGCAUAAAAAAUAAAAGAACACGCUGAAGGAAAGAUCUUAUUGAACCUAGGAUGGCUUCAUA
rnacentral:lncRNA from 10 species